rnacentral:tRNA from 2 species
UGGGCUGAUGCCUGUUGGUUUGGGUGAUCUGCUGUUAACUGAUUGUUUGUGGGAUCGAGGCCCACCAGUCCUG